rnacentral:rRNA from 1 species
AUACGGAGGACGCGAGCGUUAUCCGGAUUCAUUGGGUUUAAAGGGUGCGCAGGCGGCCGUGCAAGUCAGCGGUGAAAGCCCGGGGCCCAACCCCGGAAGUGCCGUUGAUACUGCAUGGCUUGAAUGCGGUCGAGGCGGGCGGAACGUGGCGUGUAGCGGUGAAAUGCGUAGAUAUGCCACAGAACGCCGAUAGCGGAGGCAGCUCGCCAGGCCUGCAUUGACGCUCGGGCACGAAAGCGUGGGGAUCGAACAGGAUUAGAUACCCUGGUAGUCCACGCCGUAAACGAUGGGCGCUCGUCGUCGGCGGCAGACAGUCGGCGGCCAAGCGAAAGCGAUAAGCGCCCCACCUGGGGAGUACGGUCGCAAGGCUGAAACUCAAAUGAAUUGACGGGG